ensembl:processed_transcript
AAUGAAAGAGGAACAGAGAGAAAGGCAGGUGCGCAUCGUGAUGCUCAGUCGCUAGUUUAGAGAGUUAAAGCCAACAAACUGUUAGGAUUGCAAUCACAGCAUCCUCAGAGAAGGCAGUUUGACUGAAUCCUAUCAGAUGACAGGAAGAUGUGGUGUGAUUACUUCAGAGUUUGACAGAACUUUAUGAUGUGCGUCAUUGAAGAAACAACCACACACAUACAUACAACAUCACACGCUACUGCAUGAACAUUUACAGUAACAUCUAACUUAAUCUGAUCACUUGCUUUUACACAAUCACUCAUUAUACAUUAUACAUUCAUUGCAAAUGAAGAUCCCGGCAAAUGUUGCACACUGGCUGAUGACAUCACUACUAUUGAUCGACUGCUGAAGUGAUCGCUGGACCUUCUGUUUAUGAGGUGGAUUUUUCUGUGAAACUAUUGGGACUUAUU